CCGCCCACCCUGUCACCCACUGGAAAUGAAACAGUAAAACUGCUUCAGAAAUGCAAGAAAAACCAGGUUUGCUAGAGCAAUUGUGGUGACAGCAAUGCACCGGCCUCAGGCGGCUACUGAGGUGCCCAUUCUGUCCCAGAACAGGU